CGCGUAGGCGGGCGGUCAAGUCAGGGGUGAAAGCCCCCAGCUCAACUGGGGAAGUGCCUUUGAUACUGGCCAUCUUGAGGGAGGUAGGGGCGUGCGGAACUUCCGGUGGAGCGGUGAAAUGCGUAGAUAUCGGAAGGAACACCGGUGGCGAAAGCGGCGCGCUGGACCUCUUCUGACGCUGAGGCGCGAAAGCCAGGGGAGCAAACG
rnacentral:rRNA from 1 species